rnacentral:rRNA from 1 species
CAGCCGUAAACAAUGUGCGUUAGGUGUGUCGGUAACCACGUGUUACUGAUGCGCCGAAGAGAAAUCGUGAAACGCACCACCUGGGAAGUACGGUCGCAAGGCUGAAACUUAAAGGAAUUGGCGGGGGAGCACCACAACAGGUGGAGCCUGCGGUUUAAUUUGGAUUCAACGCCGGACAUCUCACCGGAUAAGACAGACAUAUGAUAGUCGGGCUGAAGACUCUACUUGAUGAUCUGAGAGGAGGUGCAUGGCGUCAGUGACU